AACGAACGCUGGCGGCAGGCCUAACACAUGCAAGUCGAGCGAGGACUUCGGUCCUAGCGGCGGACGGGUGAGUAACGCGUGGGAACGUGCCCUUUGCUUCGGAAUAGCCCUGGGAAACUGGGAGUAAUACCGGAUGAGCCCUUUGGGGGAAAGAUUUAUCGGCGAAGGAUCGGCCCGCGUUGGAUUAGGUAGUUGGUGGGGUAAUGGCCUACCAAGCCGACGAUCCAUAGCUGGUUUGAGAGGAUGAUCAGCCACACUGGGACUGAGACACGGCCCAGACUCCUACGGGAGGGAGCAGGGGGGAAUAUUGGACAAGGGGGGAAAGCCUGAUCCAGCCAAGCCGGGUGAGGGAUGAAGGCCUUAGGGUUGUAAAGCUCUUUUAACCGGGAAGAUAAAGACAGGACCGGGAGAAAAAGCCCCGGCUAACUCCGUG
rnacentral:rRNA from 1 species